UGGACACACACAAAUUAGUCUUGGAGCGGUGCUCACAUUAACCACCAUCUAUCUCAUCCAGCACAUCCUUUGGGGGCCUCCCUCCAGCCCAGGUGGCUCGUGAAAGUAUUUAUUCCAAGUGAACACUGAUUGGAGAGGUGUGCAGCCUGGUAGGAAGAAGCUGGCUCGGGUUAACAUCUUGCCAUGUGUGAUCACAAACUGGAUGGCCCCUCUACGGCUCUCUUGAGAGAGGACUGCAAGCGUCAACCCAGGACUGCUGGGUCCAGGCGAUGGGAGAAACAUAAUGCUGAUUUAGAGCAUUUACCACAAACUGGAAAACACCGUCCCAGCCCUGCAAGGUGCUACCACCUAGCUGGCACUGUCACUGAAUCUUCAAAAAGCCAUUCAACCAUCUGUCAAAGCAGUUGCUUCAAGGUGAUGGGGAACAUGGUGAGAUCGAUGAAUUCUAAGAGCAUGAACCCACUGCUGCUUUUCAUUUGCUGGGAAUACCAUGGCGGUGGACGAGGCAUUCUGGAAGGCCACAGAUGGUGGUUUUGGCAGCAGCACGGUGGGCAGUGAAGACAAAUCUAUGUCCAGAGCAAGUGUCAGUUCCAGUCAGAACAACCUGCUGCCUCUUCCAUAAUGAAAGCGGUCCAAUGUAAUCAACCUACCACCAGGGGCGGGAGUGCAGUGGCCUCAGUGCCCCUCUUUGCAGGAGAAGCCUCUUCUGGAUUGGAGUUCUAGAACCAUCGCUGCUCCCAAACUCUCCCCGCCUUGUACCUGCACUGCGCUCAGCCUUACAGACCUCCGAGCUCCGGAUUCACCCCCUGAAAACGUUGGGGAAAGACUACUUCUCCCUCCUUCCCUCAGGACCACGUGUUCCUUCAGGACGGACUGUUGAGAAGAAAGUACCAUUCGACUCAUUUAAAGAGCAGAGGAUAGAGAGCCCAGGGUGAGUCUCAGGAGGAUUUACUUUGUAAAUGAAGCAGAGCUUCCUUAGUGAGCCUGCAACACCCACAGGCCCAAUGCACGUAUGAGACCAGCCCAGGCGGUGACACGCGUCACCAGUGCCUGUGGGUCACCCGGCAGAGCCCGAAGCCUGCCACAAACACUGACUCUCUCUCACCAUGU